rnacentral:lncRNA from 1 species
UUUUUUUUUUUUUUUUUUUUUUUGAGACAUGGUCUCACUAUGUAGCCUUGGUUGGCCUGGAACUCACUAGGUAGAUCAGGCUUUGGCCAUAUAUAGAUCCUGAGGGACAAGCUUCCAAGGACCAAGAAGCAGUUUCAGCAGCAGCUGUUUCUACUCCCUCCAGUUCUCUGCUUUUGUUGAGCUGUGACAAUGAUGUUGGACAUUCACUUCCUCUAAUUCUUUAUAUUUAUUAUUGUUUUCUAGAGCUGCUAUUUUAUAGUUCAUGUUCAUGAUCUUUUAAUUUUUCAGUUGGAUUAGGAAUAUCUUUGCGCCCCAUUCUCUCUUAGUAUCUGCAUUCUUUGUUGCAUAUGGCAUUGGAGGAUUAACCAUUUUCUUUUGAGCCUUGUAUAGGUUGACAUAUUGCUUUUGCACUGUUUUUGAUAAUAAAUUCCUACUCAGUACAUUGGAUUUUUUUGUUCAUAUGUAGAUACUUGGAAUAUACAAUUUCCCAUUUUUCUAAUCUGGAUCUAAUUUGUACUUAGUCUCUGAACUCCCUUGUGCGGGGCUUUAGACUUGGCACUCUCACCCUUAAGCUUUUGUGGGUAAUCUUGAUCUUGUUCUGUGACUAUUUCAAAUUUUGAUAUCAUUUAAUUCUAGAUACAGUAUUGAUAAAUAUUGAUAUAUUGAUAGAUGUAGAAAUAUUUUUUCUCCUGUUUUUGUUUUGAUGCAAAUCUCAAAUUAGAGAGACCUUCCCUCUCACUUUGUAUGAUCUAACCUGUAUUCUUGCUGAUUUUAUCUUUGAUGUUUUUGUUUUUUGAGACAAAGUCUGUUAUCUUGGCUGACCUGGAACUCUCUUUGUAGACCAGGCUUGUCUGGAAUUCACAUAGAUCCACCUGCCUCUGCCUGGGAUUAAAGGCAUGUCCUGCCAUGCUGGGCUUGAUGGCUCUUUAGUACACUAAUUUCCAUUUUCUACUUCUUCAGUUUGUUUUGUAAGUAGUAGUUCAUGGUGUUUAGUUUGUCUUUCAUGUAAAUUGACUGUAUCUGGGACCUUUAGAAAAGAGACAUUAGCACCUCCUCAGUUACUGGCUCAGAUGACUCUCAUUGGGGUCGUCCUGGCUCUUCUUUCUUUUCUGAUUAGUCAUUCCUUCCAACUUACCUGUAGAUAUUUUCACUCCCAUCACAUCUUUCUAAACACUGUUAAUGCUGGAUUGGCUCUGAGAUUGUGUGAAUAUUCUUCGUAUUAAGAAAGGAUUUCCACAUUGAUAUUUGAUAUAACCUUGAUGUGAUCUAUUGUAAUCAGUCCAAAAACAUCUUGCAUAAUUUGAUUCAUAAGAGCAUUCAUGAAGGCUCUUCUCUCCUUAUGUCAAUAGCUUGUACAUAAGCAUAAGUUCAGCUAUAAUUUUCACUGACAGCCAGUGUAAUGCAGUCUUUGUUUCUUUAGUAUUCACUUCAUGUUCAAAGGUUUUGUAGAUUGGAGAACACAGUUGCUUUGAGCAUCCAUGAUGUUUGGGUCAGCACUGUUCCAGUGGCAUAGAGGCACACUCCCUUUUUGACACUGUAGAGUCUUCAUCAGAUCUGUGCAGCCACUAUUCAAGGAUAAUCAUACACACAAGCAAUAUAUAGAGCAGAUAGGAGUACAGAUAAUUCCCAAGAAGCUGCAUCACUGAAAAGUCCCAUCAUGUCUUGGACUUUGACCUCAUGGGAGUCACAUUAAGGAAUAGCCAUUUUUCUGACUUUAUAUACACUCCUGAGCUUUUUAUGCAAGUUAGCAUUCAAGCUAAAUCUUUCAACACUCGGUGUAGAGAGAAGACUUCUGUUUUAGGUACUGGAGAGAUGGAUCAGCAAUUAAAGGAACACUUGCUGCAAUGGGUUCCCAGGGCCCACUUCAUUAACGCAGCUCACAAGCCUAAAGCUACCUUCAGGGGAUCGGGUACCUUUGGUACCUGCACUCACACGGGCAUACCCACAUUCAGACAUACAUACACAUGUAUGCAUAAUUAAAAGUAAGCUUUUCAUUUCAAAAAGGCUCUUGUUGAAGUUGGUUAUGGCAGUAUUUACCUGUAAUCUCAGCAUUUGGGAAGAUCAGGAGUUCUGAGCCAGACUAGUUAGCAUACAUGUCAACAACAAAAGUGUAACUAAUAAUAAGAAUAAAAACACAUAAAUAAAAAAUUAACUCCUGAUAGCACUGUAAAUCCAAUUUUUUUUUCUAUAUGAAUGUCUUUACCUUCUCACACAUUCUGGACUAUUCUGAAAAAGUUUAAGUACUAUCAUCUGUGCCUCCCUUAUUCCAUUAGAGUUAACUUUAUUAUAUGAUAGAAUAUCAGAAACACAACCAGAAACUUUGGCUGUUUACUAUAACACUAAAUGCUCUUGGAUUCCAUACUGAUAACUUAUUUCCCUGGAGUUAAUGCUAGUGUUCUUGCCUAGGAUAAAGGUUUUUAAUAACUGUAUUGGAAAUCUGCUUUAAAACCAUUUUGAGACUGGAGUGAGUAUGGGAAACUGCAAGUCCCUUUCCACAGAAAGGUUCUAUUCUCCCCUUUCCCUAACUCUUUUGAAAUGUUCAUCCUUGGAUUUCUUUUGGUUGGUCGGUCUGCAGUGCUGGGAACUGAGCGCAGGGCCUUGUACAUGCUAGGGAAACACUCUACCAACUGAGUUGCUCCCCCAGCCCUUUCUGUAGCUCCCUUCAUUACAAGUCUCUGAAUCCUAAGAGGCACUCCUUAGUUGUAAACUAAGUCUGUGCAACUAACAGUCUUUGAAGCUCUGUGAAGGAAGCUUGCCUUUCUCUCAGUCCACAAGUCAUUUAGGAUCUCAUCAGGAUGCCAGCUUUCUCCGGGAAAAGAUUCAUGUAUUUUGAUUUUGGCUUUUUGGUCCCAGAGUUGUAUUUUGGGACAGUCACCAUUAAGUUGUUAUUAGAGCCAUCUUUGUGUUGUCUUUUCAUUUCAUGGCAGACAGUAUGACUCCUAACUUGAUUGAAACCACUGUCUUUUUGGCUCAGCAGGCAGCCUAGGCCCUGGCUGAAUGAAGGGGUAAGUCCUUCCUUGCAUGAUGGUGUGCAGGUUUCCUGACUACCAACUUUCUAAUUUUCAUAUGUGAAUUCACGUGUGUGGCUUCACCACCAUAACUUGCCUCCUAAAUACUUUUAACUUGUUAGGAAGGAAAGAACCUAGACUUGCUUAAAUCUGUUCAAGGCUGACAUUCUGAAAUUUUAAACGGACAUAACAGCAUUUGUAAUAAUAAUCGUGCAGGUCUAAUGUGGCUCUUUGGGAAAGAAAUUUCUUUUAUGAAAACAGUUUUUUUUAAAGCCAGCUUUUUAAAAGCUUAUUCAAGUGAACCUUUGUUGUGUAGCUUUUGUUUUCUUAGCUGGAAAAAGAUUUGAUUACACCAAAAAGUAAGGGUGGUCCAUUAUUGUGAGUAAGGCUAACUUUCCACAUUAUAAUGGGACCCUUCCUAUCUUCCUUUCAAACUGAGAAUGUCAGUCAUGAACUUUUAAGCGGUCAUCACUUGCAGCUGUUUGCAUGAUUAGUCUUGUGUAUCCUGAGAGCUUUGCUUUUCUGUGCCAGUUCAAAAUAACAUUUUUGCUAAGAACAUUUAAAAUUAACUGAUAUCAGUUUUGUUUUGAUUUACCUGGUUGUGUGUAGUAUUUCCAGGACC